CUUGGCCAUGUUGGGUUUUAUCAUGUGUUCGGUCUUGCUUGCUUUUGCCGACAACCCUUCAAACUAAAGGCCCUAUAAGGAAAACUGGUUCCUUGUAAACGGUAACUGGGUUAGCUCGACUGAGGUCAAGGCGACUGGCGCUCGAGUCGCUAGAUGCUUUAGGGACAAGGUUGAUUAGUUUGGCCAAGUUUCUUUUUCUGAAGAAGAAGAAUUUCAGUUGACAGUCAUCACUUCCUUGCCUUCUAAAGAGCUUUCCAUUGCCACCAUACAUACCGAAUCUCGUUUAAGAAUGAUUGAUCUUUUAGGAGGUAAACUAACCAAACCUCAAUGCCUUCAUCUAUGGUCUGGUCUUGGUGGAUUUAUAUUAUUUGUUGCUCAUUUUUUCAACACUUCUUUUCACUUUACAAAUGGAGAAAUGGAUGUUCAAGUUGAAAAGAUCGCCCGCCGAGCUAUGCACAAAAAGAACGCUCCCAGUGGCGUUUAAAAGUAGAUAGUCGCUUGAGGUGUUGGUAAGAGCGGGCCAAACACUUAGCUUGCCAGUCCCGACCUACUUCUAAAGGUGGUAUUGAGUACUCCUCCGAGUGCGGGGAGGGACAAAUCCUCGGGCAAGUGCCCGAUUACUGGCGGCUCGGACGCCCCUACUGCAAGAGGCUGGCGGUUGUUUCUUCCGCCCCUUAGCGGUUAUAGGUAGGAUCCAACCUAUGUGAUUGUCGUGUGCUUUGAGGAUGCAUUUCCCCAAGAGAUUUACUCAUACUUGAACAUCCGUAAGGGAGUCUUUCAUGGGGAGAGCAUCGCGGACGCCAUGCGAGGUUUGAAGGGGACACCCAUGAACAGGUGGCCCUUGCUUUGAUCUUCAGGCUGGGGUAAACUUUCAUCAGGCUCUUUUCGCCAAUUUUGAAGGCUUAGACACCUCUUCAAGAAGAGAAAACAGAGCGCCAAUUACGAGCGAGACAUGAAGAGGUUGCAAGAUACUGUGAAGGCCAAACAGAUGGAGUUCGGAUCCACCAAGAAGGUUGUUAAGGCGGCUAAGAAAGAGGCUGCUCAACUGCAGAUGAAGACCAAGUGCAUGAGAAAGCAGUUGAGCGAAUCUUCCACAAGCAAGCUCAAGACUACCAUGGAGUUGGGCGAGGCUUAAGAUGCCGCUUAGGCUUUGAGGAAGGAGAACAAAUGCAUGCAAAAGGACUUGGAUGAAUCCUCCUAGGUUGGUGGUUAAGACAUGGACAACUACUUUUAAAUUCCGAUUGGCCAGGAGCUCGCCAACAAACUCCGCUUCCAAGGCUACGUGGAGUUCUACAAAAAGGUGAAUUUGACCUAUCCUGACUACGACCUAGAUGUAGGGGACGACGAGGAUGGCUCUGAGCAUGAUGAAGAUAAUAAGGUUCUCAUGGUUGUUAGUGGAAAUGGUGUUCGCAUAAAGAUGUUGGUAGAAAGGGUGUUCGCAUAAAGUUGCUGGUGAAAAUGGUGUUUGCAAAAAGUUGCUCAUUGAAAUUGUGGUGCAUGACGCUGCUUAGCAUGUAAGACUAUAGUGGAAACAGUUGGAUAGGGAAACAACUAAAUCUAGGCGGGGAAGCGGUAGUUAUAGUAAACAAUCGACAUGGUGUUUGGCAACCAACUUAAACCUUAAAAGGUAUAGGGUGUAGGCAUUGUUGAUUUUGCCUAAGGUUUCUUGAGUCAAUUAUAAUGCUUGAAUUUCUUGAAUUACUUGAGGCUGAUUAAUGCUUGGGACUUGCUCGAUAUGUUGAAAUACAUACAGCUAGGAAUUCUUGAAUCAGCAUACUUGCAUGGCUUAAAGUACUCAAAUCUGUUGCUUGAACCAUUGGUGCAGGAAAUACCAUUUUUUCUGCCAUUCGAAAGCAUUUCAGUCGCAAGGUUAACAGAUUAGAAGUCACACUGGAGCUAACGCUGGAAACUAAUAUUUCAACAGUUAGAAAGAAGAGUUUUUAUGUUCUUGUUUAUGCUUGGAACAUUUCGGGACGUGUAAUAGAAUUUUCCUCAUGAGAAUUGAAUAAAUGACGGUGAUGGAAAUCUCAAGCAAUGGGGUUUAUCAAGAAUUUUGUUGUAUCAAUGUUAUAAAAGAACGAGUUGGAUUAAGAGAGUAGCUUCCCGCUUCCAUCGGAUGAAUAUGCAGUGCUUGAAGGGGCAAGUAUAGGAAGGUUUAAUUAGAGGAUGGUUUUAUAUGGAAUUACCAAGGCAAUGAGAGU